UACGUAGGGGGCAAGCGUUAUCCGGAUUUACUGGGUGUAAAGGGAGCGUAGACGGCAGAGCAAGUCUGAAGUGAAAGCCCGCGGCCCAACUGCGGGACUGCUUUGGAAACUGCCCGGCUAGAGUGCUGGAGAGGUAAGCGGAAUUCCUAGUGUAGCGGUGAAAUGCGUAGAUAUUAGGAGAAACACCAGUGGCGAAGGCGGCUUACUGGACAGUAACUGACGUUGAGGCUCGAAAGCGUGGGGAGCAAACAGG
rnacentral:rRNA from 1 species